GUGCCAGAAGCCUCGGUAAUACGAAAGGUGCAAGCGUUGUUCGGAUUUACUGGGCGUAAAGAGAUCGUAGGUGGUUUGUUAAGUCGGGUGUGAAAUCCCGGGGCUCAACCCCGGAACUGCAUUCGAUACUGGCAGGCUAGAGUUCGGGAGGGGGAAGCGGAAUUCCGUGUGUAGCAGUGAAAUGCGUAGAUAUACGGAGGAACACCUGAGGCGAAGNCGGCUUCCUGGACCGAUACUGACACUGAGGAUCGAAAGCGUGGGUAGCAAACAGGAUUAGAUACCCUGGUAGUCCACGCCCUAAACGAUGUCUACUAGCCGUAGCGNGUAUCGACCCCUGCUGUGGCGCAGCUAANGCGAUAAGUAGACCGCCUGGGGAGUACGGUCGCAAGAUUAAAACUCANAGGAAUUGACGG
rnacentral:rRNA from 1 species